CGCCAAUCGUCACCUUCGUCGCCGCAGUCUCCGACCACCUUUGACGCCGCUAGCUAGACAGCCUGCAGACUGCUCCAUCUAGGUGACUGACUGGGAAAAACCACUCUGUGGGGGGGGGGGGGGUUCUUACUCCAGGCAGCGGCUAAUGAAGUCGUGGAACUCCGAGUCCUGGCUCCCGAGUGCCAGGUAUAGGGAGUGACUGCCUGGGACCCUGCUUUGUCCGGACAUCAAAGGCAUCCCCGAACCAUCUGCAGGGAUGAUGCAGACCAGGUAAAGCCCACUGAACUAUUGCCUCUUUUUAAGAGGCGACCAGGCAAAA